rnacentral:sRNA from 1 species
AGCAAAGGGCAGAGCAGACCUGCGCCAGGGGCGCACAACGGCCGUGUCCACCUCCCGGCCCCAAGAUGGUGCUUCCCACAGGCAGCCACGCGUAGCAGCCAGAGACAGCUCCAGACAUGUGGCUCUUCUUCGAGAUCACUGGAUUGCUGACGGCAGCCCUCUCAGGGCAUGGGGCCUGGCCCAGAGCCUAGCUGAGAGAAUGGAAUGAAUGAGUGGCAUCUCCCUGACCAAGGGUUAAGAUAGAUGGGAACUCAGAAGGACUUUGAGCCGCCUCAGAAGCAUCCUGUAGCCAUGAGGCAACGUCUGUAAAGCACUCAGCACAGAGGAGGCACUCGGCACAGAGGAAGUCCUCGGGAAAUGUGGAUCUGCUUCCCUUGCCUCAGCGAAAUGCUCCUUGACUUUGAAG